rnacentral:tRNA from 1 species
GGGUCUUUAAUGUUAGUGGCAGCAUAUCUGUCUUUUAAACAGAAUGGCUGGGUUCGACUCCCAGAAGACCCA